rnacentral:rRNA from 1 species
CCGAAAGGCAGGAGUGCCCGCAAGGGAGCGCGGAGACAGGUGGUGCAUGGCUGUCGUCAGCUCGUGUCGUGAGAUGUUGGGUUAAGUCCCGCAACGAGCGCAACCCUCACCCCUUGUUGCCACCAGGUGAUGCUGGGCACUCUAGGGGAACUGCCCCGGUCAACGGGGAGGAAGGCGGGGAUGACGUCAAGUCAUCAUGCCCCUUACGCCCUGGGCUACACACGUGCUACAAUGGCCGGUACAAAGGGAUGCAAUACCGCGAGGUGGAGCUAAACCCAAAAAGCCGGUCUAAGUUCAGAUUGGAGUCUGCAACUCGACUCCAUGAAGGAGGAAUCGCUAGUAAUCGCGUAUCAGCACGACGCGGUGAAUACGUUCCCGGGCCUUGUACACACCGCCCGUCACACCACGAAAGCCAG